UUCCUGAAUAUAUCACAUGUGAUAAACAUGAAGAUGUAUGAAAAAUUGUGUUCGUUGAGAGAAAAUGGAAGGCUUUUCAUUCUACUUCCACAUUUUCAUUCCAGCAGCUUUUCUGUUUUGGAAGGUGAGUACUGAAUCUUGCAAUGAAAUUUUUUUAACUUAAACAAGACAAGGAAAAUGAAGCGCAGAGACGUUAAAUAACUCUCUCAAGGUCAUGCAGCUGAGAAGAGAUGAGACUUGAACUCCAGUGCCAGCCCUGUUAAUCACUAUUCUGUACUGUCUUUCAGAUGGAAUGAUAGGGUACGCAUAAAUGUUCAUGUGGGCUCUGGAGUAUACCAGGAACUGAAGUAAGGUACAUGGACGUCUUGAAUAUUGUAACUGAGAUGGGCAAGCCUACACCUUUGCAAAUAAAGGAGGAUUGGGAAAGAUUAAGAUCCUAUUCAAACGUCAGUGUUACUAUUUAGCCUUUGAUAUCUCCAUUAAAGGCAACUUCUUUCUGGACCCAGAAAUAAAGCUUUACAUUAGUAGCCUCCAUAACACCAAUAACAUGAAUGACCAUCUACUGAGCAAUUGCAGUGCACCAGGAUUAUGGUUUAUGAGCACUUUAUGUUUAUUAUCUCACAACUCACUGAGUUAGAUACUCUCCACAACCCAGUGAGCCUCUCAAGCACUGUGAAAAAUCACUUUCUCUUGUUAUAUUCUUGGAGCCCCUGCUAAUUCAUUAUUGAAAAAUACCUGCUGCCUGCAUUUGGCCUUAUGUUGUCAUUUACUUGGGUCUGUGCAUGGCGUUUAGAAGGCUACACCUUAGGCUGGGGGUCAAGAAUGUCUUCCCUGAUGUGAGGUUUACACAGAGAUCUGAAGAAUGAAAAGUCCAGCUAAGUACUUCCUAAGCGUGGCUACUCCAAUGAAGCUUUAGUAUAUGUACUGAAAGAAGAUCCUCUCAUACUGCCACAGCCAACAGAUAAGGUUGUAAAUCUUUAUUGGGAGAAGCCGUCAAGGACAGUUCUGUGAAAUGAAAGGAUCUCUGGAUCACCACAAAGUCUGGCUCAGUGACUAUGGCUUUGCUAACACUAAACAUUCCUAUCUCAAGUCCUGUAGAUGGCUUGAAAUAGUAUACAUAAGCAUGCCUUAUAAACAUCUUCAGUCUUUAUCAACUCUUUGGAGAUUCAGCCAUUCUUUUUUGUACUUUAGGGAAUUAAAUCAUUUUAUAAUGUAUAAAUCUGAGCAUGGCAGAUGGCAGAAGAAAUUUUGUCAUAUGUUUUUAAAGAAAUAAAAAUGUAUUAUGUUUUAAAAUUC
rnacentral:antisense_RNA from 1 species